UACGAACCGUGCGAGCGUUGUUCGGAAUCACUGGGCUUAAAGGGCGCGUAGGCGGGCUAUCAAGUCCGGGGUGAAAUCCUCCAGCUUAACUGGAGAACGGCCUCGGAUACUGAUGGUCUCGAGGAGGAUAGGGGCACACGGAACUGUGGGUGGAGCGGUGAAAUGCGUUGAUAUCCAUAGGAACUCCGGUGGCGAAAGCGGUGUGCUGGAUCCUUUCUGACGCUGAGGCGCGAAAGCCAGGGGAGCAAACGGG
rnacentral:rRNA from 1 species